UGUAUUGAUCAGGUGCUGGCAUCAGCAAU
rnacentral:piRNA from 1 species